rnacentral:misc_RNA from 1 species
GCGAAAUGCGUUAAGUAAUGUGAAUUGCAGAAUUCCGUGAAUCAUCGAAUCUUUGAACGCACAUUGCGCCCUCUGGUAUUCCGGGGGGCAUGCCUGUCCGAGCGUCAUUGCGAACCCCUCAAGCACGGCUUGUGUGAUGGGCCCUCCCGCGUCUUGGUCGUCAAGACGGGCCCGAAAUGCAGUGGCGGCUUCGCGGUUAUCCGAUCAGCCAGAGCGUAUGGGGACUUUCUCUCUGUCACACGCCCGCGGCGCGGACCGACGCCUGUCGACCUUUAUUCAUCUUUUUCUCGGUUGACCUCGGAUCAGGUAGGGAUACCCGCUGAACUUAA